rnacentral:rRNA from 1 species
ACGCUGGCGGCACGCUUAACACAUGCAAGUCGAACGGAGUUAAUUGGAGCUUGCUUUGAUUAACUUAGUGGCGGACGGGUGAGUAACACGUGAGCAACCUGCCUUUGAGAGUGGAAUAGCUUCUGGAAACGGAUGGUAAUACCGCAUAACAUUGCCGGACCGCAUGAUCUGGCAAUCAAAGAUUUAUCGCUCAAAGAUGGGCUCGCGUCUGAUUAGAUAGUUGGUGGGGUAACGGCCUACCAAGUCGACGAUCAGUAGCCGGACUGAGAGGUUGAACGGCCACAUUGGGACUGAGACACGGCCCAGACUCCUACGGGAGGCAGCAGUGGGGAAUAUUGCACAAUGGGCGGAAGCCUGAAUGCAGCGAUGCCGCGUGGAGGAAGAAGGUUUUCGGAUUGUAAACUCCUUUUAUCAGGGACGAUAAUGACGGUACCUGAAGAAAAAGCUCCGGCUAACUACGUGCCAGCAGCGGC